GACGGAGGGGGCUAGCGUUGGUCGGAAUUACUGGUCGUAAAAAGCGCGUAGGCGGAUUAAUAAGUUGGAAGUGAAAGCCCAGGGCUCAACCUUGGAAAUGCUUUCAAAACUGUUAGUCUUGAGUGUAGUAGGGGAUGAUGGAAUUCCUAGUGUAGAGGUGGAAUUCUUAGAUAUUAGGAGGAACACCGGUGGCGAAGGCGGUCAUCUGGGCUACAACUGACGCUGAGGAGCGAAAGCGUGGGGAGCAAACAGG
rnacentral:rRNA from 1 species